CUUGAACUUGAUUAGCUUGCCAUCUAUAGUGGUGAUGACAGAAGUCCAACUGACCACUUCACCAGGACGAGGACUUGCUGAUGUCAAGGUCUUUCCAAAAGCCUCAUCUCUGAUGAAGCCAACUAAAUGAAAGGUUUGCUUAGUUAGCUACAUGCCAAAUGGAUAGGCCACCCUCAGGUAUCUGAAACUACAUGAUCAACUGAUGUUACUGAUCAUGAACAGCAUGUAGUUACUUACCGUAUAACUCAGAGCUAAAUGUGGAAUAAUCAGACGGGUAGUUCUGACUAUGCGUUGGGGCGGGUGGUAGCCUAGUGGUUAGAGCAGCAGGUAGCCUAGUGGUUAGAGCGUUGGGGCGGGUGGUAGCCUAGUGGUUAGAGCGUUGGGGCGGGUGGUAGCCUAGUGGUUAGAGCAGCAGGUAGCCUAGUGGUUAGAGCAGCAGGUAGCCUAGUGGUUAGAGCAGCAGGUAGCCUAGUGGUUAGAGGAGCAGGUAGCCUAGUGGUUAGAGCAGCAGGUAGCCUAGUGGUUAGAGCAGCAGGUAGCCUAGUGGUUAGAGGGGCAGGUAGCCUAGUGGUUAGAGGGGCAGGUAGCCUAGUGGUUAGAGGGGCAGGUAGCCUAGUGGUUAGAGGGGCAGGUAGCCUAGUGGUUAGAGGGGCAGGUAGCCUAGUGGUUAGAGGGGCAGGUAGCCUAGUGGUUAGAGGGGCAGGUAGCCUAGUGGUUAGAGGGGCAGGUAGCCUAGUGGUUAGAGAGACAGGUAGCCUAGUGGUUAGAGAGGCAGGUAGCCUAGUGGUUAGAGCGUUGGGGCGGGUGGUAGCCUAGUGGUUAGAGCGGCAGGUAGCCUAGUGGUUAGAGCGGCAGGUAGCCUAGUGGUUAGAGGGGCAGGUAGCCUAGUGGUUAGAGCAGCAGGUAGCCUAGUGGUUAGAGCAGCAGGUAGCCUAGUGGUUAGAGCAGCAGGUAGCCUAGUGGUUAGAGCAGCAGGUAGCCUUGUGGUUAGAGCGUUGGGGCGGGUGGUAGCCUAGUGGUUAGAGCGGCAGGUAGCCUAGUGGUUAGAGCGGCAGGUAGCCUAGUGGUUAGAGCAGCAGGUAGCCUAGUGGUUAGAGCGUUGGGGCGGGUGGUAGCCUAGUGGUUAGAGCAGCAGGUAGCCUAGUGGUUAGAGCGUUGGGGCGGGAGGUAGCCUAGUGGUUAGAGCGUUGGGGCGGGUAGUAGCCUAGCGGUUAGAGCAGCAGGUAGCCUUGUGGUUAGAGCGUUGGGGAGGCAGGUAGCCUUGUGGUUAGAGCAUUGGGGCGGCACGUAGCCUUGUGGUUAGAGCAUUGGGGCGGCAGGUAGCCUUGUGGUUAGAGCAUUGGGGCGGCAGGUAGCCUUGUGGUUAGAGCGUUGGGCCAGUAACCGAAAGGUUGCUAGAUUGAAUCCCCGAGCUGACAAGGUAAAAAUCUGUCCUUCUGCUCCUGAACAAGGCAGUUAACCCACUGUUCCUAGGCCGUCAUUGUAAAUAAGAAUUUGUUCUUAACCGACUUGCCUAGUUAAAUAAAGGUCUUAAAAAAUGUUUUAACAAUCCCUUGAAAACGGCACGCAGUUGUCAAUGGUUUUAGCAGAGCUGACGGUCUUCUUGCUCUACAGCAGCCAAAUGAAACGCUCUGCACCCUGUUGUGACGUCUUAUUGAUAACGACCUAUGGGGACAAACAUCUGGAACAGAUCAUUAGGAUUCUCAGGUUCCAAAUAUAUGAAAUGUCAUGUUGGCUCAUACACAUCCAGAGGCUGCUACAGCCUCUCCUCAUGUAAUGCAUGUCAAUCCCUGGAGUCAAAGACAUGCUGGUUGAGUUGGAAAGAAAGCGUUAUGUUUCUAAUUUCUUAAUGUCGUAAAUUAAACUGUAAUAUUAUACAAAAUGAUAAGAACUGUAUUAUAAUGAGCGAACUGAAUCUAAGUUAAUCUAUGUUCAUGUUUUAGUUCUAGUCCAUGUGAAUUGUUCAAUAUGUGUAUGUCUCAGCAAAGAUAAAACUAUGUGAGUUUACAUAUGGCUUAAAAAUAAAUGUCAAUUUCUUUCUAUUUUCCAUAAAUGUAUAAAUAUAGACAUGAAUUGUUCCUUAGUUUUGGUGUUUGCCUGUAACAUCUAGUAGAUGUAGCAACAUUGCUAUUUAUUGCAGAGAUGAAAUUAUUAGACUGUUUAUUUGCUUUAUCUUGUUUCUAGUUAUUGUUCUGUAAGAUAUGUUAUGUGCAUUGUGUAACUAAAAUGUUCAUUUAAAACUAUUUACUUUAAUAGGGAAUUAUUUAUGUAAAAAUUGUUUGUAAAAUCUAUUUUGGUUUUUAUGACAUUAAACAUGAAUUGAACUUGGUACACAGAGUGUGAUGGAAUUGGUUCUGCUUACUAUAAACUAUGAAGAUUUGUAUUAAUGGUAUAACUGUUUUUAAAGUAUACAUUUCAAUGAUUUAUUUGAUUUGCUAUAGAUAUGUGUCCAGAAGAGAGGUGAUCGCCUCCAUACAUUAAUAUCUCCCCUGCAGGACCCCUCUACACUACCAUGUCCUGAUCUGUCCAUCAGGACCCCUCUACACUACCAUGUCCUGAUCUGUCCAU
rnacentral:lncRNA from 1 species